GACAACUAACCUGCGGUAGAUAGUAGUCAAUAGUGACGCUGCUUUUUAGACCUACGAUUUCGGCUCUUCCUAUGAUUGCAAAGCAGAAUUCCCAUGAUUGGAUUGUUCAUUCACUAAUAGGGAACGUGAGCUGAGUUUAGACCGUGGUGAGACAGGGC
rnacentral:ncRNA from 1 species